CCCUUAGAUGUUCUGGGCUGCACGCGCGCUACCCUGAUGCGAUCAACAAGUUUUUCCUAUGUCGAUAGACACGGGUAAUCUUUUGAACUCGCAUCGUGAUGGGGAUAGAUUAUUGUAAUUAUUAAUCUUCAACGAGGAAUUCCUAGUAGGUGCAAAUCAUCAGUUUGCAUCGAUUACGUCCCUGCCCUUUGUACACACCGCCCGUCGCUGCUACCGAUUGGUUGAUCUGGUGAAUUAUUCGGACUGCCGGCUGAAGGGGUUUCCUCAUCUGCCAGCGGAAAGUCUUGUUAACCCUAUCAACUAGAGGAAGCAGAAGUCGUAACA
rnacentral:rRNA from 1 species